GUGUCAGCCGCCGCGGUAAUACGGAGGGUGCAAGCGUUAUCCGGAUUCACUGGGUUUAAAGGGUGCGUAGGCGGGCAGGUAAGUCAGUGGUGAAAUCCCCGAGCUCAACUUGGGAAUUGCCGUUGAUACUAUCUGUCUUGAAUAUCGUGGAGGUGAGCGGAAUAUGUCAUGUAGCGGUGAAAUGCUUAGAUAUGACAUAGAACACCCAUUGCGAAGGCAGCUCACUACACGAUAAUUGACGCUGAGGCACGAAAGCGUGGGGAGCAAACAGGAUUAGAAACCCCGGUAGUCC
rnacentral:rRNA from 1 species